UACGUGGGGUGCAAGCGUUAUCCGGAUUUAUUGGGCGUAAAGAGUUCGUAGGCGUUUUGUUAAGUUUCAUUUGAAAGACCCCGGCUUAACCGGAGGAACGGAUGAAAUACUGGCAGAAUCGAGUUGGUCAGGGGGUACUGGAACUGAUAGUGUAGCAGUGAAAUGCGUUGAUAUUAUCAGGAACACCAAGGGCGAAGGCAGGUACCUGGGACCACACUGACGCUGAGGAACGAAAGCUAGGGGAGCGAAAGGG
rnacentral:rRNA from 1 species